rnacentral:rRNA from 1 species
CACGGGGGGAGCAAGCGUUGUUCGGAAUCACUGGGCGUAAAGGGCGUGUAGGCGGUCAGGUAAGUGGAAUGUGAAAGCCCUCGGCUCACCCGAGGAUCUGCAUUCCAAACUGCCUGGCUUGAGUAUGGGAGAGGAUGAGGGAAUUCCUGGUGUAGCGGUGAAAUGCGUAGAUAUCAGGAGGAACACCGGUGGCGAAGGCGCUCAUCUGGCCCAAUACUGACGCUGAGACGCGAAAGCGUGGGGAGCAAACAGG